rnacentral:rRNA from 1 species
GGUAGAGAGAAGCUUGCUUCUCUUGAGAGCGGCGGACGGGUGAGUAAUACCUAGGAAUCUGCCUGAUAGUGGGGGAUAACGUUCGGAAACGGACGCUAAUACCGCAUACGUCCUACGGGAGAAAGCAGGGGACCUUCGGGCCUUGCGCUAUCAGAUGAGCCUAGGUCGGAUUAGCUAGUUGGUGAGGUAAUGGCUCACCAAGGCUACGAUCCGUAACUGGUCUGAGAGGAUGAUCAGUCACACUGGAACUGAGACACGGUCCAGACUCCUACAGGAGGCAGCAGUGGGGAAUAUUGGACAAUGGGCGAAAGCCUGAUCCAGCCAUGCCGCGUGUGUGAAGAAGGUCUUCGGAUUGUAAAGCACUUUAAGUUGGGAGGAAGGGCAUUAACCUAAUACGUUGGUGUCUUGACGUUACCGACAGAAUAAGCACCGGCUAUCUCUGUGCCAGCAGCCGCGGUAAUACAGAGGGUGCAAGCGUUAAUCGGAAUUACUGGGCGUAAAGCGCGCGUAGUGGUUUGUUAAGUUGAAUGUGAAAUCCCCGGGCUCAACCUGGGAACUGCAUCCAAAACUGGCAAAGCUAGAGUAUGGUAGAGGGUAGUGGAAUUUCCUGUGUAGCGGUGAAAUGCGUAGAUAUAGGAAGAAACACCAGUGGCGAAGCGACUACCUGGACUGAUACUGACACUGAGUGCGAAAGCGUGGGGAGCAAACAGAUUAGAUACCCUUGUAGUCCACGCCGUCAAACGAUGUCUACUAGCCGUUGGGAAGUCUUGAACUCUUAAUGGCGCAGCUAACGCAUUAGUUGACCGCUUGGGGAGUACGACCGCAAGUUAAUACUCCAUAGAUUUGACGGGGG